AGGCACUUCACGUGGUCAGCACAGGAGGGGCAGGUGCCACACACUUUUAAACAGCCAGAUCUCAUGAGAACUCCAUCACGAGAACAGCACCAAAGGGAUGGUUCUAAGCAAUUCGUGAAAGAUCUACUCCCAAAAUCCAAUUACCUCCCACCAGGCCCCACCUUCAACACUGGGUAUUACAGUUCGACAGAAGAUUUGGGCAGGGACACAAAUCCAAACCAUAUCAGAAACUUUGAGAUACCUUUCAACUGUUGAGUCAUUUCAAACCGAGGCCGAGGGGCUCACAGAGAAGGAGUCUCGGGGCCAGUUAGCCAAGCCCAGACCUGGUGCUGCAUCGAAUCGCUUCUAAGCUGACAAUUGGGAAGUGAGGACAAUUUGCUCAGUGACUGACUAACGUCAUGAAGGUGUUGUUUCCGUACAUAUUGAGGUUCAGCUAAAGCAGACAUUAAUAUUGGUAAUUUUAUCAGAAGUAGAUAUUUCAGAUAUCAUCAAUGUUUUAAGUCCCUAAAUGAUAAUAUUUUUAUUGUUUUUACAGUUCCGAAUGACUUCUGGAGAAUAGUAAAUGUGUCCCUAAACAUAGGAUAUAAUUUUACCUAAAAAUUUCAUAUACAUGUUGUGAGAUAAAUUGUGUUCCCCCAAAAAAGAUAUGUUCAACUCCUAAGCUAGUACCUAUGAAUGUGAUCUUAUUGGGAAAUAGGGUCAUUACAGAUGUAAGCAAGUUAAGAUGCUCAGUAUGGUGGACCCUAAACCCAAUAUGACUGGUGAGCUGAUAAGCAAAGGAGACAUAGAUAGGCACUCAGAGAGAAUACCAUAUGACAACAGAAGCAGAGAUUGGAGUGACACGGAUACAAGUCAUGGAACACCAAGGAUUGCCAGCAAUUCCAGAAACUGAAAGAAGGACAUGGGACAGAUUCUGCCCAAGAGCCGUCACGGAGACAGCAUGGCCCUGCUGACAUUGAUUUUGGACUUCCAGCCUCCAGAGCUGUGACAGAAUAAGGUAAUGUUGUUUAAAGUCACCUGCCUUGUGGUACUUCCGUAUAGCAGCCCUAGAAACUAAUACACACUAUGUUAAGAUUAUUUUGGUGCUACAUUUUAAUGAUUUUUAAAAACUAUGAUUAGGGCCACGCACAGUGGCUCAUGCCUGUAAUCCCAGCACUUGGGAGGCCAAAGCAGGUGGAUCACUUGAUGUCAGGAGUUUGAGGCCUGCCUAGCCAACAUGGUGAAACCUCGUCUCUACUAAAAAUACAAAAAUUAGCUGGAUGUAGUGGCUGCAUACCUAUAGUUCCAGCUCCUUGGGAGGCUGAGGCAGGAGAAUCGCUUGAACCUGGGAGGCAGAGGUUUCAGUGACCCAAGAUCUCACCACUGCACUCCAGCCUGGAUGACAGAGAGAAAC
rnacentral:lncRNA from 1 species